CGAGAUGGAAGUUGUGUGUGUGUGUGUGGGUCUGUGGCGUUGAUGUUAAAUUAUGAUUGAUGUUAUGAGCGGAAUGACGUUUCUGUUCCUGUAUAUACUGUAAGUUGAACAUGCCAUCGCUGUGUUUACCGCCCUGCCACUGCUCUUCCCAUCUGGCUCUGCAGUGCCCAACAAAUUUUUCCAUGUUCUUACGCCCUCUGAGGAUCCUGACACCUACAUCCACCGGUGUGUGCUUUCUAGUCCUGUCUUGCUGGUUGGAGAGGAAAAACUGUAAUCACUUUGUUCUGCUGAAACAUUAGUGUAACCCAGCUAGGGUUAUAUUAAGUACUGUAUCAUUUCUUUUAUUUUCAUGUAAUGGGGCAUUUAUGAGUGUGUGUGUGUGUGUGUGUGUGGAGGCUGUGUUGUGAGGCUUCUUUUUUCCUCAACCCUAAAAGCAUUGAUUUAUUUUGUUCUAAGUUAACUGUUUUGCACAUACUUUCGUUACU